UGGGGAAUCUUGGACAAUGGGCGCAAGCCUGAUCCAGCCAUGCCGCGUGAGUGAAGAAGGCCUUCGGGUUGUAAAGCUCUUUUACCAGGGACGAUAAUGACGGUACCUGGAGAAUAAGCCCCGGCAAACUUCGUGCCAGCAGCCGCGGUAAUACGAAGGGGGCUAGCGUUGUUCGGAAUUACUGGGCGUAAAGCGCACGUAGGCGGAUUGUUAAGUCAGAGGUGAAAUCCCGGAGCUCAACUUCGGAACUGCCUUUGAUACUGGCAAUCUAGAGUCCGGAAGAGGUUAGUGGAAUUCCCAGUGUAGAGGUGAAAUUCGUAGAUAUUGGGAAGAACACCAGUGGCGAAGGCGGCUAACUGGUCCGGUACUGACGCUGAGGUGCGAAAGCGUGGGGAGCAAACAGGAUUAGAUACCCGCGUAGUCCCUGAGCGGGCUGGCAAGGCGCAU
rnacentral:rRNA from 1 species